ACUCCUACGGGAGGCAGCAGUGGGAAUAUUGCACGAAUGGGCGCAAGCCUGAUGCAGCCAUGCCGCGUGUGUGAAGAAGGGCCUUCGGGUUGAUAAAGCACUUUUCAGUUGUGAGGAAAGGUUAGUCGCUAAUAUCGGCUAGCUGUGACGUUAGCAACAGAAGAAGCACCGGCUAACUCCGUGCCAGCAGCCGCGGUAAUACGGAGGGUGCGAGCGUUAAUCGGAAUUACUGGGCGUAAAGCGCGUGUAGGUGGCUUGUUAAGCCAGA
rnacentral:rRNA from 1 species